rnacentral:rRNA from 1 species
UACGUAGGGACCAAGCGUUGUUCGGAUUUACUGGGCGUAAAGGGCGCGUAGGCGGCAAAUUAAGUCAUCUGUGAAAUCUCCGAGCUUAACUCGGAACGGUCAGGUGAUACUGAUCUGCUAGAGUGCGGAAGGGGCAAUCGGAAUUCUUGGUGUAGCGGUGAAGUGCGUAGAUAUCAAGAGGAACACCGGUGGCGAAGGCGGGAUCCUGGGCCAGUACUGACGCUGAGGAGCGAAAGCGUGGGGAGCAAACAGG